UUCCCUCGACGCUAUCCCAGAUACCACUCGCGCGUCAUUAGAAAUGGAUUUAUUUGUUUAAAUUUUGUGGAUUUAGAUAUGUUUAUAUUUACCAAUUAGUCGUUUUGUUAUUUGUUGAAAGUGCGCUGCACAUAAUUACCUCUGUACCUUCUGCAAUCCAAAAGUGCAGGCAUGAUGUUGGGAAUCAAGUUAAGGUCAUGGAUGGAAGCUGUACGGCCUAAGAAGAAACAGCAACGCAAAGAGAAGCAAUUAAAAUCUAAUUUGAGUAGUGAAAAUAGCGGUGUCACAUUCACCAACUCAGAAUCCCUGCAAAGCACUCGUUCAUCGGAACACAACUGGGAUGACAUGACACAAAAGUCGAUUCUCAGUACAACGGACAAAGUCGCACGUUAUUCGGGAGCCAAUUUAUCUUCUCCGGAGUCAGCUUAUUCUACGGGCUACUCCACAGAUGGAACUUCCCCUGGAGCACCACCGGAGUAUUACAUAAAUAUAAAAU